UGGGGAAUAUUGGACAAUGGGCGCAAGCCUGAUCCAGCAAUACCGCGUGUGUGAAGAAGGCCUUCGGGUUGUAAAGCACUUUCAGUAGGAAAGAAGUUGUCGUGGUUAAGAGCUAUGACAAUUGACGUUACCUACAGAAGAAGCACCGGCUAACUCUGUGCCAGCAGCCGCGGUAAUACAGAGGGUGCAAGCGUUAAUCGGAGUUACUGGGCGUAAAGCGCGCGUAGGUGGAUAAUUAAGUUUCGUGUGAAAUCCUCGGGCUCAACCUGAGAAUUGCACGGAAAACUGGUUAUCUAGAGUAUGGCAGAGGUUAGUGGAAUUUCCGGUGUAGCGGUGAAAUGCGUAGAUAUCGGAAGGAACACCAGUGGCGAAGGCGACUAACUGGGCCAAUACUGACACU
rnacentral:rRNA from 1 species